UGGCGAACGGGUGAGUAACACGUGGGUGAUCUGCCCUGCACUUCGGGAUAAGCUUGGGAAACUGGGUCUAAUACCGGAUAGGACCAUCGUUUAGUGUCGGUGGUGGAAAGUUUUUUCGGUGUGGGAUGAGCUCGCGGCAUAUCAGCUUGUUGGUGGGGUAAUGGCCUACCAAGGCGUCGACGGGUAGCCGGCCUGAGAGGGUGUACGGCCACAUUGGGACUGAGAUACGGCCCAG
rnacentral:rRNA from 1 species